rnacentral:rRNA from 1 species
UACGUAGGGUGCAAGCGUUAAUCGGAAUUACUGGGCGUAAAGCGUGCGCAGGCGGUUUUGUAAGUCUGUCGUGAAAUCCCCGGGCUCAACCUGGGAAUUGCGAUGGAGACUGCAAGGCUCGAGUGCGGCAGAGGAGACUGGAAUUCCUGGUGUAGCAGUGAAAUGCGUAGAUAUCAGGAGGAACACCGAUGGCGAAGGCAGGUCUCUGGGCUGACACUGACGCUCAUGCACGAAAGCGUGGGGAGCAAACAGG